rnacentral:piRNA from 1 species
UUAGCCAAUCAAAGCUCACAGUGGAGAGUC